CGUGGAUUACGCUGGAAGAGAUGGACGGCAUUGACAGAUGACUGGAGAGGAGAACAAGAAGUAUGGGGCCCUUUGUUGCCAUGCUGAGAGAGACGGAUCGGGAAUUCAUUGAAAAAUGCAUCCGCAAGUUUGGUGGCUCAAGGCACAAAGUCAUCUUUAUAUUAUGGGGGAAUUUGGCUCCGAGUGCCUGCAAAGCGUCUUUUAACACCUGACAGACAAUGAAUGUGAGGUCAUUCGCAGGGUGGUGCUGUAUUGGUCUCAGAUUCCUCUCGACAUGCAUCAUCAGGUAUGCAGUGUUUUUUGGACGAUUGUUGUAUCUGUUUCAUGGAAGGAGUCAUUGGGCGUGAGACAGAAGAGUGUACGGUUCGGUUUCAGCCUGCUUUCUAAACCUGGCCAUAUGCCCCUUGUGCCUAUUACUUUACUCCUCCCUGAUCUGAGCGCUGAAGAGAUAAUACUUAUCCAUAUGGCAGAAUAUUGUUUACAGUGUUGCUUAAAGGGAAAUCUGAAGCACAUGCAGCCUUCAAUUCAGAUUGUUGGGUCACAGUGGUCAUUUCACCUAAAGGUCCUGUUAUCCUGGCUUUUAUGGGGAGUCUGUGCAAAAAUUACCAGUUAGACAUCAGCAGAUUAAAGUUGAAGUGAACAUU
rnacentral:lncRNA from 1 species